rnacentral:lncRNA from 1 species
GCGAUGAUGGCCUCGCCGUUCGUCAACUCGUCCAAUUGCUGAAUGGCGUACUGAGGAGGGAUCAAGUCUCCGAAGGUCUUGAAGUCCAGAGGGUACUUGGCCUUCUGCUCAUCGAGCUCCUCCCUCCAGGCAGAGAAGUCGAGCUUCUGGUGAGACCCACUCUCUUCCAACAAUUCGUUCAGUCCUUGCAGCGCCAACUUCACGUCGCCACAGAUGGAAAUAUGGGGUUGCUUGUUCUUCCCGAUCUCUGCAGGGUCGAUGUCGAUGUGCACAAUUUUGGAUCGGCUGGCGAACGCCUCGACCUUCCCCGUGACCCGAUCAUCAAACCUCACGCCGAAGGCAAGCAGCAGGUCCGAUCUGUCGAUGGCGUAAUUAGCGUACACCGUACCGUGCAUGCCCAGCA